GUGGGGAGUGGCAUAUCCCUCGUAAUUUUGAUGAAAAGACCUACCAUGACGUCUGUACCAUCACCACCAACUCCAAUUUAAAUUGCAGUUGGUAUAUAGAUACAAUACUAGCAGGUGUGUCCGUGCGUUGCUACGGAUCAACAAAAUCACAGACUAUUUAUUUUUAUUUUCUGUGUAGGCAAUUCAUGGUGCCAUUGAGGUUGGCAUGCGUCGGUUGUAAGACGGAAUAGGAGAAAUCGUGAAAAAAAAAUUGAAGGAAAAGAAAAUAACGAGCAGUGGCAUAUUGGUUGUAAUUUUAACGAAAAAAAUUGGAGGCAAAAAAGAAAACGAGCAGUGGC
rnacentral:lncRNA from 1 species